rnacentral:rRNA from 1 species
GACGAACGCUGGCGGCGUGCUUAACACAUGCAAGUCGAACGGUAAAGCUCCAGCUUGCUGGAGUGGAUCAGUGGCGAACGGGUGAGUAACACGUGAGCAACCUGCCCCUGACUCUGGAAUAAGCGCUGGAAACGGCGUCUAAUACUGGAUACGAGAAGGGUCCGCAUGGGCACUUUCUGGAAAGUUUUUCGGUUGGGGAUGGGCUCGCGGCCUAUCAGCUUGUUGGUGAGGUAAUGGCUCACCAAGGCGACGACGGGUAGCCGGCCUGAGAGGGCGACCGGCCACACUGGGACUGAGACACGGCCCAGACUCCUACGGGAGGCAGCAGUGGGGAAUAUUGCACAAUGGGCGAAAGCCUGAUGCAGCGACGCCGCGUGAGGGAUGACGGCCUUCGGGUUGUAAACCUCUUUCAGCAGGGAAGAAGCGAAAGUGACGGUACCUGCAGAAGAAGCACCGGCUAACUACGUG